UCCCACUUCGUUCGGUUCACAUCAAUUUUACGCGCCGCUGGAGCCGGCAUAAUUUUCCGUGUGAACGCGGACUCGGGCCCCUGUUCCUGUUUAGAGCCGUAGAAGGAGUCGCGAGGUGCCCGCCGGGGCUGAGGCCGCCGGGGUGGGCGGGGAGCACGUCCCUCCGAGCCCCGAGGGGACUGUGAUUGCCAUUUAACUCCGAAGGGAGGCCGCCUCCCCCCAGAGUGAUACUAACAGGGAAAUGAAGAUGGGACAUACAAACUUUGGUGAAUAAAGGAUUCUACCAUACACAAGCAAAUACAUGAAACUGGAUGCAACAAUACCAGGAGGCAUGGGAGAGGAGUAGGCAUUGUUCUCAGGAGGGCUUCUAUCCUUUCCACAG